UAUCUCUGUAGAGUCUGCAUAUCAAUAAGCGGAGGAAAAGAAACUAACUAGGAUUCCCUUAGUAACGGCGAGUGAAGCGGGAAGAGCUCAAAUUUGAAAUCUUCAAGGUUUUACCUUGACGAAUUGUAGUUUAAAGAAGUGUUUUCUGUUGGUAGCUUUGGUAAAAGUUCUUUGGAAUAGGACAUCAUAGAGGGUGAGAAUCCCGUAUUUGACCAUUACUUUCCAGCUUUGUGAUACACUUUCAAAGAGUCGGAUUGUUUGGGAAUGCAGUCCAAAAUGGGUGGUAAAUUUCAUCUAAAGCUAAAUAUUGGCGAGAGACCGAUAGCGAACAAGUACCGUGAGGGAAAGAUGAAAAGAACUUUGAAAAGAGAGUUAAACAGUACGUGAAAUUGUCAAAAGGGAAGCGUUUGACACCAGUGUUGUUUUCUCGAAAAUCAAUUAAAAAAGGCAGGAUUUUGUAUUGUAAUUGACCUUUAUCAGCUUUACUGCUACUCUUUUCUUGUCUUUUUUAAUGCACUUUUCGUUUAACAAGUCAACAUCAAUUUCUUUUGUUGUAAAAGAGUAUUCGGAAGGUGGCUUUCUUUUCGGAGAAAGUGUUUAUAGCCCUAUACUUCUACAAUCGGAGAGAUUGAGGUCUGCAGCGUAGAUCCUUCGGGGUUAGAUACAUUUGUGCUAAGUUGUAGCUUUUCAUAGACAGCUUGUUGACUAUGUUUAGUCAUGCGGCUUACUCGCUUAGUGCUAUUUUACCUACGCUUAGGAUGUUGACGAGACUGUCGAUCUC
rnacentral:rRNA from 1 species